rnacentral:lncRNA from 1 species
CUGCCCCGGAGCUGGGGUGCACUGGGGACCCCCGUGGUGGGGACCUUGGCAGUGUGGACAUGAGCAGAGCGAUGGAGCAGUCUCCUGCCCUCUCCCCUGUCCUGAUGGCACUCUGUUGUAUUUUCUUACUGAAGUUCAGUGAUAACUCUGAGCAGUUUCAUUGUGAUCACUGUAAAUGGUAAUCAGUUGGAAUUCUCCUAAAUGUCUUCCAGACACUAGUAAAAAACGACCUGAAGAUUGUUUGUGGAACGCUUCACUUUUCUUAGGCUGAGGACGGAGCUGGCUUUGAAUGGGAACCUCCAUCCCAGGAGAGAAUAGCCUUCAUUGGGCCCAGUAGGGCCUUCCUGGACCUUCAGGCUGGAGUGCAGUGGNNNNNNNNNNCCAGGCUGGAGUGCAGUGGCAC